rnacentral:rRNA from 9 species
UGGCGGCCUUAGCGCGGUGGUCCCACCUGACCCCAUGCCGAACUCAGAAGUGAAACGCCGUAGCGCCGAUGGUAGUGU